UACGAAGGGGGCUAGCGUUGCUCGGAAUCACUGGGCGUAAAGGGCGCGUAGGCGGCCUGAUAAGUAGGGGGGUGAAAUCCUGCGGCUUAACCGCAGGGCUGCCUUCUAAACUGUCAGGCUAGAGCACAGUAGAGGCAGGUGGAAUUCCCGGUGUAGCGGUGGAAUGCGUAGAGAUCGGGAGGAACACCGGUGGCGAAGGCGGCGACCUGGGACAAUACUGACACUGAGGUGCGAAAGCGUGGGGAGCAAACAGG
rnacentral:rRNA from 1 species